UUUGAGGUUACAAUUCUAAAAGUAAGAUCAAGGUUACUAAAGUGAGGUGGGAGGUACCAGAAGAGGGAUGGGUGAAACACAAUACAGAUGGAGUAUUCAGAAGGAAAGAUGGUAGAAGUUCAUAUGAAUUCUAUUUGAGGGAUAGGAAGGGUGAUAUACUAUAUACUAAAGCAGAGGCACAAUUAUAUGCAGAUAGCAUACAACCAUAGGCAUAUGCGAUUUUAUAUGCAGAUAGCAUACAACCAGAGGCCAUUGUGCCGGUGACGCAUCAUUUUAAUUUCUGCCUUAUCAACUUUAGAUGGUAGGAUCGUGGCCUACCAUGGUGGUGACGAGUGAUGGGGAAUUAGGGUUUGAUUUCAGAGAGGAAGACUGAGAAAUAGCUACCAUAUCCAAGGAAGACAGCAGGCACGCAAAUUACCCAAUCCUGGCAUGGGGAAGUAGUGGCAAUAAAUAACAAUACCGAGCUUAAUGAGUCUGGUAAUUGGAAUGAGUAUAAUCUAAAUCCCUUAAUGAGGAUCCAUUGGAGGAAAAGUCUGGUGCCAGCAGCCACGGUAAUUCCAGCUCUAAUAGCAUUUAUCUAAGUUGUUGCAGUUAAAAAACUCAUAGUUGUACUUUGGGAUGGGCCGGACGGUCCGCCUAUGGUGUUCACCGAUCGUCUUAUCCCUUCUGUCGGUGAUGCAUUCCUGACCUUAACUGGCCGGGUCGUGCCUCCGGUGCUAUUACUUUGAUGAAAUUAGAGUGCUCAAAGCAAGCCUAUGCUCUGUAUACAUUAGCAUGGGAUAAGAAUAUAGGUUUUCGAUCCUAUUAUGUUACCUUUCGAGAUCGGAGUAAUGAUUAACAGGGAUAGUCUGGGGCAUUCAUAUUUCUUAGUUAGAGGUGAAAUUCUUGGAUUUAUGAAAGACAAACAACUACUAAAGCAUUUGCCAAGGAUUUUUUCACUAAUCAAGAACAAAAAUUGGGGGCUCAAAAAAGAUCAAAUACGUCCUAGUCUCAACCAUAAAUGAUGCCGACUAGGGAUCGAUGGAUGUUGCUUUUAGGACUCUAUUGGCACCUUAUGAGAAAUCAAAGUUUUUGGGUUCCGGGCGGAGUAUGGUCGCAAGGCUGAAACUUAGAGGAAUUGACGUAAGGGCACCACCAGGAGUAGUGCCUGUGGCUUAAUUUGACUCAACAUGGGGAAACUUACCAGGUCCAAACUUAGUAAUUCUUAGUUGGUGGAGUGAUUUGUCUGAUUAAUUCUGUUAACAAAUGAUACCUCAGCCUGCUAACAAGAUAUGCGGAGAUAUCCCUUUACGGCCAGCUUCUUAGAGGGACUACGACCUUUUAGGCCACAGAAGUUUGAGGCAAUAAUAGGUUUAUGAUGCCCUUAGCCUUUCUGGGUCGUACGUGCGCUACACUGAUGUAUUCAAUGAGUUUAUAACCUUAGUCGACAGGCUUAGGUAAUCUUGUAAAUUUUAUUGUGAUGGGGUUAGAUCAUUGCAAUUGUUGUUAUUCAACGAGAAAUUCCUAGUAAGUGUGAGUUAUCCGUUGCCUUGACUGCAUCCCUGUUCUUUGUACACACCACCCGUCACUCCUUCCGAUUGAAUAAUCCAGCAAAAUAUUCAGAUCGCAACAACAUGGGUGGUUCACUGCACCUUAUCAUUUAGAGGAAGGAUAAGUCCUAAUAAGGUUUCCAUAGGUGAACCUGCGGAAG
rnacentral:rRNA from 1 species